UUGUCCUUUAAAUAAGGACUAGUAUGAAUGGCUUCACGAAGGCUAUACUGUCUCCUUUAUCCAAUCAGUUAAACUAAUCUCCCCGUGAAGAAGCGGGGAUUCGUCUAUAAGACGAGAAGACCCUAUGGAGCUUUAAACAUCUAAGACAUCUGAUUUUACCCACACUAGACUUCAUAUAGCCCAUCAUUUUGUCUUAAGUUUUAGGUUGGGGUGACCACGGAGAAAAAUUUAACCUCCACGUAGAAAGAAAAUUCUUUUCUAAGCAAAAAGCCACAUCUUUACGCAUCAAAAUAUUGACCUAAAUUGACCCAAUUUCUUGCUCAACGAACCAAGUUACCCUAGGGAUAACAGCGCAAUCCGCUUUAAGAGCUCUUAUCGACAAGCGGGCUUACGACCUCGAUGUUGGAUCAGGGUAUCCUAAUGG
rnacentral:rRNA from 1 species